CUGCGCAGUAAAAAUAUGAAACCUGUCCACGGAUUCGACGCUUUGGAGACUCCACGAUCUUGCAACUCCUAUCCCACCAACUGACCAACCCACGUUCAAAAUCCACAAAAUACACAAUUACAAUUCACAUUUUUGGUGAUCAGAUCGGCACAAAAUAUUGCUUUGUUUUUGUUCUUUUGCGGUCGUAUCCUGUGGGUCUCUUUGACUCUCCAAAAUCAGUUUCUCAGACAUGAAAGGGGCCUAAGAUAGAGCGGGGCAUAAUUGUGUUGUUGUCGAUCAGUCUAGGUUUGUGAUUGUGUUGUUCAUUGGGAUUUUUUUUAUUUAUUAUUAUUUUUGUGAAAUUGUAGGUUCGUGGCAUUGUUUGCUGGUGGAGCUCUGUUGUUGUUCUCUGCCAUCGGAAGGUUCAGUCAUUACUCAUCAAAGGGAGUUGUUUUGGGUUUUUUUCUUUGUGUUUGGAUACACAGUGUUCGAAAGUGUAAUUUUAUUGUUUUGGCUAGCUCCUCACAUCUUCUUUGCGCUUCUUGAAAUUAUAUGUAGUAUAUAAUAUGUAGUUUAUCCACCUUGAAAUUAUUAUACUAAAAAUAUAUGUAGUAUAUAAUGUGUAUAAAAGUGUUAUAUAAUGUGUAGUUUAUGUGCACGACAAGUAUUUGAUAUUGCUUUUGCUAAUCUGUAUUUGUAAUGGGCAGUCUUUUGGGGAUAGUUGUUUACAUGCAGAUAAUCCUCCGCCAUCUGCUCCACGGGUAACUUCUCCAAGUGUAUUUCCUUCUGUGAAUUACACAGAAAUUUAUUUUGCUGAGAAUAGUAUGGAUUGCUGCUUACCAAUUGGAAAGGAAUAUUAAGUUAAUGUUACUGAAAAACCGAAUCACUUUAAAGAACAUGCCUAACAAAAAGAAUGAGAAUGGAGUAAUUGGAUGAAAUGCAUUGAAGAAAUGGAAAUGGAAUAUAGACUACAUUCUGCAAAUUAGAUCUAAAAAAAUAGUGAGAAGUUCAGUAAAAUAGACUUCAAUGUGUAGUGCUUCUUGAGUUGUUUCAAAAUAUUCAUUGGAUUCUAACUUUCAUCUCAUGAUCACAUAUUAUUGUGGAUUUUUUCAGUAGUUGUUCUUUUUGUUUCUUCUGCUGGAUCUUUUAGCAUUUAUAUAGAUUAUGCACUACUCUCGGAAGCAAGGCAAUGAACAAUAUUUCUUUCCAGAGAUUCCUUCAUUUUUUAAGUACAUCCACAAUAAUCGUCAGGUUUUGUGGCUUACAUCAAUUUGGGAUCUUACUAUGUUUUUGGUAUUCCUCUAGGAUCAUAUGUGUGUUGUGUAUCUCUCUCUCUCUCUCUCUCUCUCUAUAUAUAUAUAUAUAUAUAUAUAUAUAUAUAUAUAUAUAGAUAUAUCAAAGUUUAAUCUAAGUCUGCAUUUGUAAGCAUGUUUUAUGGGAAACUACUGAUGGUGAAUAGGAAACACUUGAACUUUUGAAUCUCAUAACUUAUUUCAACCUAAAAAGAUUACGACAGAGAUUUAAUUUAUCCCAAUUUUGAAUUUUAUCUUGCAAGGUUUAUGGAGAAGAAUGAUAGCAGGACUUGCUUUGCAGACACUGCUUCUCUCAUUUAAAGUAGCAGGCACUGCUAUUGUAUGACUAUAUAAUGAGGCCUAUAACUAACUGACAACUUCUUUCUUGAAUAUUUUUUGUGAUUGAGAUAAUUCCUUCCUUUUAGUUAUAAUCGCCAGCUAAUUGCUCUAAGAGAUCUCCUGGGAAUUCAACUUUCUUUAUGGAUACAUUAACAUACACUAUUUUGAUUAUAGUAUGAGUAUUGUCAUUCAAAUCCUAUUGUAGCUUCCACUGGUCUUUGUAGUGAUCACAUGAAAAGAACUCUGCAGGAAUUAGGAAGCUUAGUAAAGCUUAUGUACGGGAAAAAGGAAAAAAAUCAUUUCAAAUUUUAAAUAUAAGCAUUUGCUGAAUUUGAAUUUUUUAUGAUGGAAUUUCAAAAUAAGUAGUCCUCAUUGUUUGUGUAAUCGUCGCCACCCUGUUUCUACUAUCCACAGGGGUCUUCCCUUUGCUACAGAGGAGAACGAGGAAAAGGAUAUUCUAAAGGAAAUAGAUGGAGGUAAAUAUCUCUCGCUCUCUCUGUCAAAUAAUAGUGUUACAUUUUCCUAUUAACUUUGGACCAUAUGAUUGUGCUGCGAUUAAAUUUAGAAGACUGGAGCAGAUUAUCAAUUUCAAUGUCAGUUCCCCUUUUUAUCGAGUUCUUGCAUGUAACUUCUCCUUCUUCUUUUUCCAUCUAUUGCUAUAAUCUUGCAUAUAGCGUUUUCACAGUCUUUUGGUUAUUAUUAGUUAUACUUGACUCAAUUUUGGCUAAAUGGAAUUACCCGACGUUGUUUGCGAAGGAA